GGAAACACGGCUUGUAACAACAACAAAAAAAUUAGCAGACAAAGAAGAUCGUACAUUUUUCCUGAUCAAAGAGAGGUUUUGAAAGCGUUCUUUGACCAGGGAUUGACCUGGAGAGGGUCGCCUCUGCUGGCUGAGGCAGCCAACAGAACUGGACUGUCGGAGAGUGUAGAGCUCAUAGAGCUCCACAAACAGGUGGCAGAUAUUUUUACGCAGGAUACUUUGGGCUGCACCUUUCUCCAUUAUGCAGUGGAGGUGAGCUGCAAGGAGAUUGACAAGUAAAUCAUAGACAACGAACAUCAUGCAACCGGUUUCCACCGCCUAUUACUGAGGUCAACUCUCUACUAUUAAAGGUCUGUCCUCAAAUAAUAAAAUUAAAAUAGACCUAAUUUAUAUGAAUUACUCAGUUCCUGGAUAAAGUAUGUCAACUGGGUCAAACCUGGUGGAGGCCGGGGCUUGCCUCAUGAAGACUGACCUUCAGGUAAAUUAAAUUGAAUCAGGCUGAUGGUUAUCAUAAUUACCUAGCUCUAGUGUCAGGAAUCCCACUUCCUGAGUCUGUUUUCUGCCUGAGCUGACUGUUUUUUGUUUUGGAGUCUGUUUCCUGAGGUUCCUGAAUGCA